GCACCGGCUAACUCCGUGCCAGCAGCCGCGGUAAUACGGAGGGUGCGAGCGUUAAUCGGAAUUACUGGGCGUAAAGCGCAUGCAGGUGGUUUGUUAAGUCAGAUGUGAAAGCCCGGGGCUCAACCUCGGAAUUGCAUUUGAAACUGGCAGACUAGAGUACUGUAGAGGGGGGUAGAAUUUCAGGUGUAGCGGUGAAAUGCGUAGAGAUCUGAAGGAAUACCGGUGGCGAGGGCGGCCCCCUGGACAGAUACUGACACUCAGAUGCGAAAGCGUGGGGAGCAAACAGGAUUAGAUACCCUGGUAGUCCACGCCGUAAACGAUGUCUACUUGGAGGUUGUGGCCUUGAGCCGUGGCUUUCGGAGCUAACGCGUUAAGUAGACCGCCUGGGGAGUACGGUCGCAAGAUUAAAACUCAAAUGAAUUGACGGGGGCCCGCACAAGCGGUGGAGCAUGUGGUUUAAUUCGAUGCAACGCGAAGAACCUUACCUACUCUUGACAUCCAGAGAACUUUCCAGAGAUGGAUUGGUGCCUUCGGGAACUUUGAGACAGGUGCUGCAUGGCUGUCGUCAGCUCGUGUUGUGAAAUGUUGGGUUAAGUCCCGCAACGAGCGCAACCCUUAUCCUUGUUUGCCAGCGAGUAAUGUCGGGAACUCCAGGGAGACUGCCGGUGAUAAACCGGAGGAAGGUGGGGACGACGUCAAG
rnacentral:rRNA from 1 species